UAAACUUAAAAAUUCAAAUACCCUGAAAUACACAAUAUACCUGAAAAAUGUUGAUUCCAUUAACUAUAAACAGAGCAAAUUAUUUCCGAGAUCCGACUCUGCAAUUUUUUAUUUUAUUUCUAAGUGGUCCAAUAAACCAACAUAUACAAUACCAUACCAUCCAAUCCAUCUUUUGAAACUUCUCAACCAUAAGCUAUCUCCGACCAUUAACAAUUAACAAUAUACAGAACACAUAAAAAUAACUUCUAAGAGCCUA
rnacentral:lncRNA from 1 species